CGAAGACGUCGCGAAGACUACGCGUCUAUGCCUCACCCUCUCCACGCGCGGCUCACUCCUCCCGUCAUGUACUGCCGCCGCCGCCUCAAUCCACCGCUACCCCCGCCGGAGCUGACUUCUUCUCCAGCCGCCGCCGGAGCCGAGGUCGUCCCCUUCCGCCGCCGCCGCGGCGCACUCCACCGCUGCCCUCGCCGGAUCCGAGGUCUUCCCCAGCCACCGCCGGAGACGUGGUCUUCCCAUCCGCCGCGGCCAGCCGUGGCCGGAGUUGACGUCGUCCCGAGUCGCCGCCGGAGCCGAGUCGUCCCCAGCCACCACCGGAACCGUGGUCUUCCCCAUCCGCCGCAGCCGCAAGAAUCGCUCAUUCACCCCACACCCGCACCCACGGCCACGCUGUGCUCUCCUCCACAACCAUGUCGAGCCCACAUCUGCCGUCGUUGACGCUCUUUCUACCAGAAGUCCAGAACACACAUACAUCAGCAUGAAGAUGAGAUGAUUCAGGUCAUUGAAUUGCUUUGCAUUCAUGCUAUCAUAUUUUGAUGUGUCAUUUAAUCAUGUUCUUCAUAUAUUUGUUUUUCCAAGAAGGGCAGCAGGUGACAGUUGUUGAUGCGGCCGUGUUUGGUGGUGUUCACAGUUCUUGAACUGCAGGAGUAAUCGGUUUGCUAACACAGACCUGAUCUCAAGGUGCUAUGCAGCUUCCAGUGAAUGUAUUGUCUUACUAUGAUCUGCACAUCCACCCGGGCAACUCUUUGCUUCCCAAAUUUGAUUGCUUGUGUUGCAUAUUUUUGCCGAUGUAGAAAUCAUAUGUUUUUAAUGUUGUAUGUCCUGACGGUUUGGCAACAAAUAUAUCCCCAGUAUCUUUUUGAGAACUAUCCUCAAUAUCUCACGGUAUUAUUUCAUUUGCACUCUAAAUGAAGAAUUUAAAAGAAUUAUAAAUGCAAUUUUCAAUCUGAUUUACCUUUGUACAUGAUUCAAGAUUCAGUGCAGCAGCUGUAGUCUUCCUCCCCAUAUCAGAAAGAAUGAAUCUUAAUGGUGAGGUAUAAUCCUAACGUUAUACAUUAUGCUUUCAUUUGCUCACAAUAAAACUUAAAUAAUGUUCAAUAUAAGUUCACAUAUUGUUCUAAAAGUUUUGUUUUGCAGAUUGGUAACAUUCACUCAUAUAUGUUGUCAGUUAGCUCAUGUCCUAUUGAUGCAAAUUUUGUUGUUCUCCUCUCUCUGCUUGGCCUCGGCUCACUGACAAACACCUCCUGUACCUUGCCCAUUCCUCUACAACUUUUAAUUGCAAUUGAAAGAUUUGGAACAACAGAAGAGGAAGAGAGAUUUGUAACUAUCUACAAUGCCAUUUGAGGUAGGUUAUGUACUGUUAAAAGUGUUUUAUCCAUUCAGUUAACUGAUAGGUAGUCUACUAUUUUGUGAGUUUUAAGUGUCAAGUGAAUGUGUACUGUACGAUGUAAUGGCUUGGUAAUUAUUAGUAAUCAGAAUUAGGGGAAGGUAAAUCUCUUCUUUUUAUCAUAGAGCAGCACAAAUAUGUAAUCAAUUAUUGGAUACUUUUUACCUUC